CUAUGGGUCCAUAUAUGUCCCUAUGUGUCCCUAUGUAUCCCUACAUGUCCCUAUGGUCCCUACGUGUCCCUAUGGUCCCUGUGUGUCCCUAUGGGUCCCUAUGUCCCUCUAUGGGUCCCUACAUGUCCCUAUGGUCCCUAUGUGUCCCUAUGGUCCCUAUGUGUCCCUAUGUCCCUCUAUGUGUCCCUAUGGUCCCUAUGUGUCCCUAUGUGUCCCUAUGGUCCCUAUGUCCCUCUAUGGGUCCCUAUGGGUCCAUAUAUUCCCUAUGGUCCCUAUGGUCCCUACAUGUCCCUAUGUGUCCCUAUGUGUCCCUAUGGGUCCCUAUGGUCCCUAUGUGUCCCUAUGUUCCCUAUGUCCCUCUACAUGUCCCUACAUGUCCCUAUGUGUCCCUAUGUGUCCCUAUGGUCCCUAUGUCCCUCUAUGUGUCCCUAUGUGUCCAUAUAUGUCCCUAUG
ensembl:lncRNA